rnacentral:lncRNA from 1 species
CGCUUCUCUCUCUCUCUCUCUUUCCUGCUCCGCCGCGGUGAGACGUACUUGCUUCUCCUCACCUUCUACCGUGAUUGUGAAGGACUUAAUAGAACAAAGACCAUCCUCCACUCAUCAAGAAAGACUUAUGCCAGGAGACUGCCUCUGAACUCAAACAGUGAGUUUCCCGUGGUCUGUAGCCUGCCAGUCUACUUUGUAAGUUUUGAAUUUACCAAGUCUUCAAAGUCAUGUGAGCCAAUUUUUAA